rnacentral:rRNA from 1 species
UGACCCAGCAACGCCGCGUGGAGGAUGAAGGCCGUAAGGUUGUAAACUCCUGUGAGAAGGGAUGAAUAGUUUUGUUUCGUAAGGGACAGAACCUGACCGUACCUUCAGAGGAAGCCCCGGCUAACUACGUGCCAGCAGCCGCGGUAAUACGUAGGGGGCAAGCGUUGUCCGGAUUUACUGGGUGUAAAGGGCGCGCAGGUGGGUCAGUAAGUCAGAGGUGAAAUCCUGCAGCUUAACUGCAGAACUGCCUUUGAUACUACUGAUCUUGAGUUCAGAAGAGAGAAGCGGAAUUCCAGGUGUAGUGGUGAAAUACGUAGAUAUCUGGAAGAACACCGGUGGCGAAGGCGGCUUCUUGGUCUGAUACUGACACUCAGGCGCGAAAGCGUGGGUAGCGAACAGGAUUAGAUACCCUGGUAGUCCACGCUGUAAACGAUGAAUACUAGGUGUCGGGUGGCAACAUUCGGCGCCGCAGCUAACGCAUUAAGUAUUCCACCUGGGGAGUACGAUCGCAAGGUUGAA